CCUUACUUCCGGUCACUGCAUUCCGUUCCACACACAGGAAGCCUCAGUGUCCGUAGAGAUCAGGUUAACAAAGUAGUGAAGAAGACAUCCGGUGAGUGUGAGACACCCAGCAGCCAUCGCAUUGUGUGUAGGACUGAGCAGGACCCAGAGCCCCAUCACGGUGCCUCCACCUCAGUCACUGAUAAAUGAGGUACAAUAACCAGAAGAUCCUGGAACUCUCCAACAAGAUCAUUCAGCUGCUGACUGGAGAGGAGGGGGAGUAUAUAGAGGAACACAGGGGUCUGUACAAGGACGUGAUGAUGGAGAAUCACCGGCCCCUCACAUCAC